GUUGACUCAUGUUCCCUCCAUUAGCGCCGCCACCCAUGGUAGGGAACCCAUCGGAAACACCGUUGGGAGCUCCCUUUUUGCCACCGUUUCCACCACCGUUGUUACCAUCAUUCUUCUGCAGCUCCUGAGGUAAACCACCGCCAUUUUUACCACCGUUUUUACCACCGCCACCUUGAUAUGGAUUCCCCCCGUUAGGAUUCCCUCCAGCACCACCACCUUUCUUACCUCCAUUCCCAUUUUUACCCUCAUUGUUACCACCACCAACAGGCAUACCACCACCCCCACCGUUACCACCUUUCUUACCAUUACCCCCACCAUUAGGAGCAGCAUUUUGAGGACCCUUUUGGGGAUUCAUAAGCUGAGGAAGAUUACCAUUCAUCAUGCCAUUCAACAUCACCAUGUUGUUGGGCAUUCCU
rnacentral:lncRNA from 1 species